rnacentral:tRNA from 1 species
GGGGGUGCAGCUCAGAGGUACAGCACCUGCCUGGCAAGUGCGAGGCCCUGAGUUCAGCUCUUAGUACCACCA